rnacentral:lncRNA from 1 species
AGCCGAGGAAGCAAUCUCACGCAGCUCCUGCUCCUGCCUCUGGCACGGCCGCCGUCUUGGACAGGUUCUGCAGCAGCGCGAGGUUCUCGCGGCGGAGCGCGGUGGCCCUCUCCCGGAGCCUCUCGUUCUCGGCGAGGAUGCACCGGUUCUCCAGGUAGAGCUUCAGGUUCAGCAUCUCCAUGGCCUCUGCUCCGGCUCUCAACCUCAACCUCCUCAGCCUCAGCCUGCAUACAUGUGGUGUGAUUGCAGGAACUGUUGCUGCUGCUGCUGCAAUUUGAGCAGAGGAAGCUUGAGAAACUUGAACAGAGCACGCUAAUCAGUUACCUCUUUCUCCUGAUGGCAACUGAGACAUGAGACGUCGUCGUCUUCCGCAGCUGCCGCUCGAGGUUGACGACAACAAGAG